rnacentral:rRNA from 1 species
UGUUUUCCGUGUUAGACCGCAUACAAGUCUCUUGGAACAGAGCGUCAUAGUGGUGAGAACCCAGUACACGAUGCGGAUGCCUAAUACUUUGUGAUACAUUUUCGAAGAGUCGAGUUGUUUGGGAAUGCAGCUCAAAUUGGGUGGUAAAUUCCAUCUAAAGCUAAAUAUUGGCGAGAGACCGAUAGCGAACAAGUACCGUGAGGGAAAGAUGAAAAGCACUUUGGAAAGAGAGUUAACAGUACGUGAAAUUGUUGGAAGGGAAACACAUGCAGUCAGACUUGCUAUUCGGGGCAACUCGAUUGGCAGGCCCGCAUCAGUUUUUCGGGGCGGAAAAGCAUAGAGAGAAGGUAGCAGUUUCGGCUGUGUUAUAGCUCUUUAUUGGAUUCGCCCUGGGGGACUGAGGAACGCAGCGUGCUUUUAGCAUGAGCUUCGGCUUAUCCACGCUUAGGAUGCGGGUGUAAUGGCUGUAUAUGAC